CCUACGGGAGGCAGCAGUGGGGGAUAUUGCACAAUGGGGGAAACCCUGAUGCAGCGACGCCGCGUGAGUGAAGAAGUAUUUCGGUAUGUAAAGCUCUAUCAGCAGGGAAGAAAAUGACAGUACCUGACCAAGAAGCCCCGGCUAACUACGUGCCAGCAGCCGCGGUAAUACGUAGGGGGCAAGCGUUAUCCGGAUUUACUGGGUGUAAAGGGAGCGUAGGCGGGUUUGUAAGUCUGGAGUGAAAGCCCGGGGCCUAACCCAGGGACUGCUUUGGAAACUGUGUAACUGGAGUGCAGGAGGGGCAGGCGGAAUUCCUGGUGUAGCGGUGAAAUGCGUAGAUAUCAGGAGGAACACCGGCGGCGAAGGCGGCCUGCUGGACUGAAACUGACGUUGAGGCUCGAAAGCGUGGGGAGCAAACAGGAUUAGAUACCCCUGUAGUC
rnacentral:rRNA from 1 species